UGAGAGCCUCAUUAGCGUACAAGUAGAUACU
rnacentral:piRNA from 1 species